CACUGCCUUGUAAUUUUUUGUCGAUCCCACUAACUGGGUCUUCCUGAGCGGCACGCUUUCUCUUCACUUCUGAGUCACUCUAAAUGUCUAAGAAUGUGUCGUUUUGUCGGUGAUCCUCAUUGGUUGUGAAACGAAAGCCGGCACGUUUUCAAUACCAAGCACGUGAGAUUGCCAAAGGUGGAAGACAAUAGAGACUAACGGCCAGAGUCACUCUUGUACCAGCAGAUUAUAAUACUUACAGAAAGUACACAAAUGUGCCUCUGAAAUACCCAUGAAAGGAGAGAGAGCACAAGCAGGGGGAGCAGCAGGCAGAGGGAGAAGCAGGCUCCCCACUGAGCAAGGAGCCCAAUGUGGGGCUCAAUCGCAGGACUCUGGGAUCAUGACCUGAGCCGAAGGCAGCCACCUAACCGACUGAGCCACCCAGGUGCCCCAAAGU
rnacentral:lncRNA from 1 species